UUUCUGUCUGGAUCCUCUCCUCAAACUGUCAGCAGGGGGAAAGGUCCAGGACAGUUACUGUUAUCAAAUCUUCCUGGAUAACAACCACAGCCUGGUUCUGCCUACUGUCCAACACCUGCUGGAACACUCCUUCCACAGUGCAGGACUCAAACUGGCAGAGGUGCCGUCUGUCUGAUCCUCCAGAUGCCUCG